rnacentral:lncRNA from 1 species
CACAGCUCUUCUCUCUGUCUCUUGCUCCCCACCCGUUGGUUGAGCUCCCUGCCACCUCUAGCCUUCCCGUCAGCCUCCUGUUGACACCCCUAACCUCUAUGUGAUCUGAUCAUGGCAUCUAUGUUGCUGCAAAGGACAUGCUUUCAUCCUAUUUAUGGCAGCACAGUAUUCCACGGUGACAUGUAACACAUCUUCAAACGGAGUCUCGCUCUGUUGCCCAAGCUGGAGUGCAGUGGCGCGAUCUCGGCUCACUACAAGCUGUGCCUCCCGGGUUCACACAAUUCUCCUGCCUCAGCCUCCCCAGCAGAUGGGACUACAGAUGCCCACCAUCACGCCCAGGAAACACAAGAGACCUAAGUGUUAAACAUCACCAUGGGAAUGCAAUCAGCAUGAUUCAGACUAUGAAAAACUACAUAACAACGCCAGUCUCAGAAGUAAUAAAGGAAAAAUAGCAACUUUACAGUGAAGAAAGCUGAAAGAUACCACCUCAAUGAAAUGAUCAAGCCCCUGCACUUGGAUCAGCUAGCACCACCCAGAUCGAUAAACUGGCUCAUCUGAUCUGUGGGCCCCCCACCCAGUGCAAGAGGAUAGCUUCAACUCUGUAUGAUUUUAUCUCUGACCCCACCAAUCGGCACUCUAGACUCACUGUCCCCCACCCACCAAAUUUUCCUUAAAAACCCUGAUCCCAAAUGCUUGGAGAGAUUGAUUUGAAUAAUAAUAAACUAAUCUCCUGUACAGCCGACUAUGUGUGAAUUACUCUUUCUCUAUGGCAAUUCCCGUUUUGAUAAAUUGGCUCUGUCUAGGCAGCAGGCCUGGUGAACACAUUGAGUAGUGUAUUAGUCUGUUCUCACACUUCUCUAUUAAAAAAACUACCUGAGACUGGGUAAUUUUUGAAGAAAAGAGGUUUCUUUGACUCACAGUUUGGUAGCCUUAACAGGAAACAUGACUGGGAGGCCUCAGGAAAUGUACAAUCAUAGCAGAAGAUGAACAAAAAGCGAGCACCUUUUUCACAUAGCAGCAGGAGAGAGAGCCAAGGGGGGAAGUGCUACACACUUUUAAACCAUCAGAUCUUGUGAGAACUCACUAUCGUGAGAACAGCAAGGGGGAAAUCUGCCCCAUAAUCCAGUCACCUCCCACCAGGCCCCUCCUCCAAUUUGACAUGAGAUUUGGGUGGGGACACACAUCCAAACCAUAUCAGGUGGUUACACGUAAAUCCACCCUAACACACUCCUCUUUAACUGCCUUGGCAUGAAAAGAAAAAAAAAAAAA